rnacentral:rRNA from 1 species
AGAGUUUGAUCCUGGCUCAGAACGAACGCUGACGGCGUGGUUAAGACAUGCAAGUCGAACGAACCAAUCAAUUGAGUAAUCAAAUGUGCGGUUAGUGGCGAAAGGGUGAGUAAUGCGUAGGUAACGUACCCCGGACACUGGAAUAGCUGCGGUCUUCGGACCUUUAGCGAAAGUGCAGGUAAUUCCGGAUGAUAUCUUCUUGUCGCAUGGCAGGAAGAUCAAAGGCUUCGGUUAGUCUGGGAGCGGCCUACGUCGUAUCAGCUUGUUGGUGAGGUAAAAGCUCACCAAGGCAACGACGCGUAGCGGGACUGAGAGGUUGAUCCGCCACAUCGGGACUGAGACACUGCCCGGACCUCCACGGAGGGCUGCAGUAACGAAUAUUGCGCAAUGGGCGAAAGCCUGACGCGGCAACGCCGUGUGUUGGAUGAAGCCCUUCGGGGUGUAAACAACUGUCAGGGAUUAGAAAGGUCCUCGGACUUGAUCAGUCCCAAAGGAAGGCCCGGCUAACUUCGUGCCAGCAGCCGCGGUAAUACGAAGGGGCCAAGCGUUGUUCGGAAUCACUGGGCUUAAAGAGCACGUAGGCGGGAUCCGUAGCGUCUUGUGAAAGCCCCCGGCUUAACCGGGGAAUGGCUUGACGAACCGGGAUCCU